AAAGUCGUAACAAGGUUUCCGUAGGUGAACCUGCGGAAGGAUCAUUAACAAAUCAACAACAACAACAACACCUGUGAACCCGUCCUCAUCGCCGCCGUCUCGUUAGCAGCAGCGCCCGUCUACGCCUGUGCAUCUCGCGCAUCUUGCCGCCGUCCGGUCGCCCGGCGUUGGCACUGUGCGUGCGUGCGUGGGGUAGGGUGGGGUGCUAAUGUGACAACGCGGUGUGCGAUGACAACAAUAUAGACUCUUUUCAUGACUGACAUACAAUCAAAAGUAAUUAAAACAACUUUUAACAAUGGAUCUCUUGGCUCUU
rnacentral:misc_RNA from 1 species